rnacentral:rRNA from 1 species
UGAGGAAUAUUGGACAAUGGGCGCAAGCCUGAUCCAGCCAUGCCGCGUGCAGGAAGAAGUAUCUAUGGUGUGUAAGCUGCUUUUGUACGGGAAGAAACACUCCUUCGUGAAGGAGCUUGACGGUACCGUAAGAAUAAGGAUCGGCUAACUCCGUGCCAGCAGCCGCGGUAAUACGGAGGAUCCAAGCGUUAUCCGGAAUCAUUGGGUUUAAAGGGUCCGUAGGCGGUUUAGUAAGUCAGUGGUGAAAGCCCAUCGCUCAACGAUGGAACGGCCAUUGAUACUGCUAGACUUGAAUUACAAGGAAGUAACUAGAAUAUGUAGUGUAGCGGUGAAAUGCUUAGAUAUUACAUGGAAUACCAAUUGCGAAGGCAGGUUACUACUUGUGGAUCGACGCUGAUGGACGAAAGCGUGGGGAGCGAACA